AUAGGCUUUCCUCAAAUAUCAUCAUUCUUUAUAAAACGUCUUAAUAUCUUCAAACCCUUUUUAUAAAAACUGGAAGCAGUGGAUUGCACUUUUUGCGUUAAUUGUUUCAUAUUGGAUAAGAUAAGAUGUAUAAAAAACUCUGAAAUGUGUGGCAUUUACUGCAUAUUUCUCCGACGCAAUGUUUAAUAAUUUCCACGCGGAUUAGAACUUUUAAUUGACCAUCGAGAGUCCAGUUUUCCAACUCAUUGCUUCAAUCCGCCGAUUUAUUAAUAUGACAUAUGAGAAAUCUGCCAGCGCGAUAACAUCUGCGCUGCCACUACUUUAGCUGAUAUCAUGACCAUGAUACCGACGUAUUUGAUAGCCAACUGGCAUGGGCAAAUUGCGCAGUUUUGCUGCCAAAGACCUAAAGAAACAGCAAAAAGUUAGCGCGAGUGCUGCAUUGAUUCCCAUGCCCACUUGGUUGCAGGGCGGUCAAGACGACAGGAGAAGUCAUUUGUUGUACAAGUAGCUAAUGUUGCUGAGGUGUUCUUUUCUCGCUGCUGCUGGUGUCCAUUUAAAAUGCCAAAAGUCGAGCGUGCAUACAGUGGCCAAGCGUGUCGAAUGCACCAAGUGCUAAUUUAUGAUUGCUCGCCAUUCACAUAUAUACAUACAUAUGUAAGUACCUAUACGAGGGCAGGUUUAUAGGUUUAUGUGUAUGCAUGUGUGAGUGCACACAUUUUUAAUGCGUAUAAUGAAUUGCAAUUUUUUUGAAUGGCUAUUAGUCAUGUGUAUUUUGUAUGCGUUUUCAUUUUUAUAUGGUACCAUUUCAUUGAUUUCGGCAAUAUACACACACAAUCAAAUAACACAA